rnacentral:rRNA from 1 species
AGAGUUUGAUCAUGGCUCAAAUUGAACGCUGGCGGCAUGCCUUACACAUGCAAGUCGAACGGCAGCACGGGAGCAAUCCUGGUGGCGAGUGGCGAACGGGUGAGUAAUAUAUCGGAACGUGCCCAGUAGUGGGGGAUAGCCCGGCGAAAGCCGGAUUAAUACCGCAUACGACCUGAGGGUGAAAGCGGGGGAUCGCAAGACCUCGCGCUAUUGGAGCGGCCGAUAUCAUAUUAGCUAGUUGGUGGGGUAAAGGCCUACCAAGGCUACGAUCUGUAGUUGGUCUGAGAGGACGACCACCCACACUGGGACUGAGACACGGCCCACACUCCUACGGGAGGCAGCAGUGGGGAAUUUUGGACAAUGGGCGCAAGCCUGAUCCAGCGAUGCCGCGUGCAAGAAGAAGGCCUUCGGGUUGUAAACUGCUUUUGUCAGGGAAGAAAUCUUCUGGGCUAAUACCCCGGGAGGAUGACGGUACCUGAAAAAUAAGCACCGGCUAACUACGUGCCAGCAGCCGCGGUAAUACGUAGGGUGCGAGCGUUAAUCGGAAUUACUGGGCGUAAAGCGUGCGCAGGCGGCUUUGCAAGACAGAUGUGAACUCCCCGGGCUCAACCUGGGAACUGCAUUUGUGACUGCAAGGCUAGAGUACGGCAGAGGGGGAUGGAAUUCCGCGUGUAGCAGUGAAAUGCGUAUAUAUGCGGAAGAACACCAGUGGCGAACGCUAUCCCCUGGGCCUGUACUGACGCUCAUGCACGAAAGCGUGGAGAGCAAACAAGGAUUAGAUACCCCUGAUACUCCACGCCCUAACGAUGUCAACUUGGUUUUGUUAGGACGGCUUUGCUGUUCAGUAACGAGCUCACCGCGAUGAGACGACCCGGCCUGGAGGAGUACCGGCCCGCAAGGAUCAACCUCAAGUAAUCGACAGUACGUCACGGUGAGAGAAUGAUGUUCUAUUACUCCGAAUGCCAGCGCGAAAACAAGUC